rnacentral:rRNA from 1 species
CCUACGGGUGACAGCAGUGGGGAAUAUUGCACAAUGGGCGAAAGCCUGAUGCAGCAACGCCGCGUGAAGGAAGAAGGGUUUCGGCUCGUAAACUUCUAUCAACAGGGACGAAAGAAAUGACGGGACCGGAAUAAGAAGCACCGGCUAACUACGUGCCAGCAGCCGCGGUCAUACGUAGGAUCCGAGCAUUAGCCGGAGUGACUGGGUGUAAAGAGUUGCGUAGGUGGCAUAAUAAGUAGCUAGUGAAAUCUGGUGGCUCAACCCUUCAGACUAUUAUCUAAACUGUUAAGCUCGAGACCGUUAGGGGUAACUGGAAUUUCUCGUGUAGGCGUGAAAUCCGUAGAUAUUAGCAGGAACACCAAUCGCGUAGGCAGGUUGCUGGGACGGUUCUGACACUCAGGCACGAAAGCGUCGGGAGCAAACUGGAUUAGAUACCCUAGUAGUC